rnacentral:rRNA from 1 species
AUUGAACGCUGGCGGCAGGCCUAACACAUGCAAGUCGAGCGGAGCGGAGGACGGGUGAGUAAUGCCUAGGAAUCUGCAUGGUAGUGGGGGAUAACGUCCGGAAACGGGCGCUAAUACCGCAUACUCUCAGAUGAGCCUAGGUCGGAUUAGCUCGAUGUGGGGGUAAAGGCCUACCAAGGCGACGAUCCGUAACUGGUCUGAGAGGAGGAUCAAUCACACGGGAACUGAGACACGGUCCAGACUCCGACGGGAGGCAGCAGGGUGGAAUAUUGUACAAUGGGCGAAAGCCUGAGCCAGCCAUGCCGCGUGUGUGAAGAAGGUCUUCGGUUUGUAAAGCACUUUAAGUUGGGAGGCGUUACCAACAGAAUAAGCACCGGCUAACUUCGUGCCAGCAGCCGCGGUAAUUC